rnacentral:tRNA from 1 species
GCGCCCAUAGCUUAACUGGAUAAAGCGGAGGAUUUCUAAUCCUCUGAGUGCAGGUUCGAGUCCUGCUGGGCGCGCCA